UGUAAGAACAGUUUGAUCUAUAAUAAUGGUGCCAGCUAAGUUACUUCUGAUUAAUAAAAAGUAUUCAAAAUGUUACUUUUAAAUGUUUUUUAUGGGUCAGACAUAGUGAUUAGUCUUUCCUCUUAACUGAAAUCAUUGAAGUUCUAAUAGGUCAGUGAUUAUAUUUAGAAAACAACAAUUAUUUCGAUCUAAACGGAAAGAUUUACAAAUAUUUCAUAAACAAUGGAUAUUAUACAUUUAACUUUGGAAACAGAUAGUGAGACUAAGAGAUUACGACUGGGUGGUCCAUUUACGAUUAAAAGGCUUAUGGAAUUAGAGCCUUAUGGAAUUUGUGAAGCAAUUUUCGCAAUUGAUCUCUUUCAUAAAAAUGAUGCCAAACAAAUACAAUAUAUUUUGGAAAUUGUGUCAUAACCGAGGCAUGUGUUUAUCGUUACUCAACCAUUUUAACCAAAUAUUUACUCAGACAGUCAUAAUUGGAGUAAGUUAAAAUACACGAAAAAGUAACGCUUUAACAUUUACUUUCAUUCGGACUUUUCCAAUAAUUUCUCAUUUGGAUGCAAAAGUCCAAAACUAAAAAUUGUAUUGUACCAUUCAGUUCCCUCUAUUUUGAUGGCUAUUGCAAUAUUUUUUACAGACACAAUUUUAUAUACAGCACUUCAAUACAGAAUUAGAAAUGAAUUCUGCUUAUUGAGUGAUAAUUUUUGAAAAAUUGAAAUUAGUUUGUUUUCGGAUGUUUAUCAAAAAGUGUUUCAUCACGGUUUCACUAACGAAGUAUAUAGAUGAUAAUUCCAUCAUGGAAUAAAAAUAAAUAGAAAUUAAAUAAUAAAAUCUGCUUUGCGAAACAGUAACCAGAAUUCAAUUAUAAAAAUAAUCCAAAAAAUAGAGCUUGUAAUCUAAUUCACAGUUUUAAAUUAGUUAAAUAUUUAUUUAGGCCAAAUAAUUGAAUAAAAAUUGAAAUCGGUUCGUUCAAAUGUUAGUCAAAAUCGUUUCAUCAAUGUUAAUCGUGCAAAUAUGGCUGUAAAAGUGUAUUUAGUGGCCUCCGCAAUUUGGAUGAUUACAGCCGUAUCCCCCGUUAUAAUUGGAAUUGAUGUUUACAUUUUUGUUUAUAUUUUGAUUAUAAUUGCCCGAACACUGUGGACAUUCGCACGGCUGGUGUGCUGGGGGAGGCGGCGGUGGUGGUACAUUGCAGUUUGGCUCACAGCAUCGUGGACGAGAAUAUCUUCGCCUUCUUCGAGGCUCUAAUAAACAUUGAAAUUUGUAAUAUAUUCAAUAUAUUUUUUUAACUCUGAACUAACCCGGGUUGGGUGAAGCUUCUGGAUCUGCUGAUGGUUUGGGUAAUCCACUGGAAAGAGCCUAAUCACAACAAAGUUAUAACAUUUUGUAUAAUAGGAAUCCUAAAUAAUUUUCAUCAACAUCAAUUGAAAACUUACGAUUAAGCCAAGGAGAACGAAAACAAAAACGAAGACGAAUUUCAUUUUGAUUAGAUCUUUGUUAAGUCACAACUAAUUGAUUUCGAUCACUUUCCAUGUCAAUUUAUACAAAAAUCAUGCUAUUCAUUAUUAUUGGAUUUCUAUCCAAUGUAUCAAUUUAUGAAAUUGUUAUGUGUUCAUUUAUUGUCAAAAUUCGGAACGUCUGUUCCAUAAACUAAUUGUUUGGAUGCAACAAUAGAAUUAUUGAACGAUGAUUCGAAAACAAUAAUCACUAAAGAGACAAUCAAAUCUCGACUCAAUGAAACGAUACUGACAAUGCAUAUUGAAUGAAUUGAAGUAUGUUGGUGAAUUUGAAUCUAAACCAAUAUUACUUCAAUGAUUGAACUAAAUAAAUAUGGAUUUCAUUGUUUUCAUUUGAACACCGAUUGGUCAAACCGAUCUAACUAAAUUAUUUGUCUUACUCAAUUGUACGAAGGUGUGUGUUGUGGUCCACAAUUUGUGGAAAGCAACGACGAUGCGAAAAUUAUAGUUCCUUUGAACCAGGCAUGUUUAAGUCUUUUUCAUUAAAUACCAAGAGAAAUUGUUUGGUUCGUUCGGAUGAAAUAAGCCGAUUUGUUGAAGAAUUUGGAAAAAAAGAGCACAAUUCGCCAUAAAUUGAAAAGGAAGUUUCUCCAGAAAUAAGAAUAUUUAAUGUUUAUUAUUACUGGCUCAUUAAAUCGAAUAAUCGAUAUCAUCUUUUCGAAGUACUCCAUGCAAUCAUUAUACAAAUGAUUAGAAAAACCCAUAAUAAAUCAAAAGAACAUUCGCUACAAGUAUCGAUUAUGAUGCAAUCCAAAUACAAAAGGUCAUUCUGAGCAAUAAAAUCUUUUUGUUAUAAAGUAUAUAAAAAAUGUAGUUUUAUCUCCAAUGUAUGCAAUGCCAAAUAUCACUCACUUUAUCUUCUAGUGAUAAAUGCGUGAUAUUUAUGUUAAAGCUAAAUAAUAAAUGAAGUCAUUUCGAUCGAAAUGUAAAAAAUGCCAAUUUCUGAAUGAACAGUGCAAUUUAUGUACAAAGUUGGAAACAGCCUCGAAUAUAUUUGGAGAUGUAAUAUUACUAAGGCGUCUCCAUCAAAUCAAAGCUUGUAAUGAUAAUAAAAUGACUUUAUGAAUUCUCAUUGUUUACUUAAUCUUUAUUGUAAGCUAUUUCAGAUAAAUAUUAUUAUUGUUUUGGAAAGUGAUAAGAUCACCACAAUGAGCUGUUUUCGAUGUUUUUCUUCCCGUUGGAACCAAUCGAAUCCAUCGAUAUGCCUAUAUUCGAGAUGAACAAACAUUCUGAUUAGAAUUUAUUAUCAUUUAUCACAAUUUCGAUAUAUACAAAAUGUCAAAAAGCUUAUGGAAUGUUGUGAUUUUCAGUUGAUCGAUCGAGGGUAAUAUGGAGAUCUGGGCCUGAUCCGUGGACUAAAAUUAUGAUAUGCUGUGAUUUUCUGAGAGGCCACUUAUUUACGAUGAUGAAAGUGCCUGACAAUGAUAUUAAAUAGAAUCUACUAUCCCUUAUAUUGAGAAAUCCUAUAUACUACUUAUUUAUUCACCUACCUAUCUUAUUUAAAUCAAAACUCAAAUUAAUUACUCAUAUUUAACUUAUUGCUUUGAUUGUGAAAUCCUAAAAUUGUUAAAACACCUAAGUUCAGCCAGCAUUUGGCGGUGAAAUAAAUAAUAAUAAAUACCUUUUGUUUCUUUGACCACAAAA